UUGGUUUUCUCGGGUUCUUAAUUUGUCCUCUCAAAUAAAUUUUUUUUUCAUUCUCUUCGUCUUCGCAGUUGGGUGUUACAACUUUCAGAGAGUUGGUAUGAGGUAUACGAGCUUAGGGCAAAUCUUGGAGUUAUUUGCCGGCGAUAAUGGUGGUCUUUUACCAUGUAUUUGCUGCUCUUAAAGGUUGAAUCUCUGGGAACAAGCAUUAUGAUUGAUUAUAGAGAGAGCAUUGCUAGCCGAAUGAUGUGAUUUAUUCCUUGAUAGAGAAAUAUGCUCACAUCAGGUUAAACUACCCAGCAAAACUAAAAGCAAAAUUCACUUGCCAUGGUUGCAGAUGACUAAAGCCUCUCCUCCAACACUUAAAUUGGAGGCUUCUGGUAUUUUUAUCGUACUAUAGAUUUUUAAAAAUCUCCUAAAGUUAUGACAUUCUUACCCUGCUCAACCAGUUCAAGCAAGGCAUUUAUAAAGACCAAGUAACAAUCAAAGCAUAGAAUUUGGACAAAGAUGUAUGAGGGAGUUGAAUCACCUAUUUAUAUGUUUUUAUCUAUGGUAUUUUAGUCAUGCAGUUAUUGUAGCUACUACUAGCAGAAAAUAUUUCAGCAACCAAGUCAUAAACAAGUAGUGCCUUUUGACAGUUAUUUUGUAUGGUUAUUUCGUGGAUGUAAUUUCAA